GAUGAAGAACGCAGCGAAAUGCGAUAAGUAAUGUGAAUUGCAGAAUUCAGUGAAUCAUCGAAUCUUUGAACGCAUCUUGCGCUCCUUGGUAUUCUGAGGAGCAUGCCUGUUUGAGUGUCAUUAAAUUCUCAACUACACUGACUUUGAAUUGGUGUGGCUUGGAUUUGGGGGGAAAAUUGUUGUGGGCUUUUUGUAUAGUCUGCUCCCCUGAAAUUGAUUAGCGGUACCUUUGUGGAACUGUCUACAGGUGUGAUAAUUAUCUACAUCUUAGACAUCUGCUGGAAUGCUGCUUUCUAAACCUUACUUGUAUUGACAAUCUUGACCUCAAAUCAGGUAGGACUACCCGCUGAACUUGAGCAUAUCAAUAAGCGGAGGA
rnacentral:misc_RNA from 1 species